AUUGAUCGUCUCUCUCCUAGCGCCUCUCUCUCUCUCUCGCACACCACAUCUCAGAUCUGCUUUAUCACCGGCUUCCGACCGCGAGUGUGAGCGCGUGCCGGAGCCGGUGGUUCAUCUCCUCCCUUAAUCUUGUUUGUCUUUGCUUCUCCGGUGCUCUCCCCUCCCUUAUUGUCUUUGUUGUUGGCUCUGGCUCGGCGGUCUUUGCCGUUAAGGUUCCAUAUGCAAGGUUCUCGCGGCGGUGGAAGCUCGACUAGAUCUGGUGUCACGACGCGGUGGGGCGUGGGGUUUGGCCGGUGGAGUCGGCUUUUCAUGGCUGAGAGAGAGGAUCAUGUUUCCCCUUUAGAUAUCUCUCGCGAUCUCUGUGUCCGUGGUGGUGUGGAAGGUGCGCUUCUCGGGCUUGUAGUGCGGUGGUGCUGCUCGUGUUUGAUGUUGGCAUGCGGCUUCAGCGAUUGGUGAUGUGAGCCUCAACGGUGUCGUCAGGGCUCCUCUCCUCUCCGUCGAAGUCAAAGACUGCUCUGGUGUUUUAUCUGGAGAUGAGUUGCGGGUGUUGGUGUGCAGGUGGAGAUGGCACUGGUCCCGGUCCAACUCAUGUGGGCGUGCUAAGUGGGCUAUUUUCCUGGUCGUCUAUGGCCGGAUAAAACCUACUUUGUAUGCUUCAAGCCUUUCUGGAAUCAUUGCUUGGUCAUCACUUUGAGUUCUUCGUUGGAUAGCGGCAACUUUCCUUUGAAGUUCGGGUUCUCGUGUGUUUUUUUUGGUUUCACCGUUGACUCCGGUGACCUUCUGCGAGUCACAUUCACUGUCUCUUCGGUUCUCGAAGGUGGCAAGAGACGUCCCGGCCUUGGUCUCGGUUGUGGCGGAGUCGCUCUUGUGCCUUGCUAGCAUCCCAGUGCCAGUGAAAGACUUCUUGUUUUUUCAUUGGUAGUGUAGCUUGGCUGUUUGUGCAGGUCGUUAGAGCCCUCUCGGUUGGUGUGUGGCACAGAGGUCAGGUCUGUUUGGUGUACAGGUAUGGUGGCGACAGUAGCGAGCUUUCUGCUCGGUUGGGAGGCAGUUUCAAACGCUGUGUGGUGUUGUGUACAAGCCGAGUCUUGGUGGCGUGAGCAAGGCUUCAUGGUAAGUAUCUGGAACUCUCCCCUAUUGAUCGUCUAGAGCUUCAUGGAUAGUGACGGUUACAAGCUCGGUGGAGUUCAUUGGGAACUAGCUACUCCGGAGGCGACUUGAGAAUUCCCGGCAUCCGAGGCAACAAGGAGAACCUCACCUUCUCGGGAUUUUCGUCAAUGGGUGAGAACAGUAACCAAUUCCAAGGAAUUUCGAAGAGGGACUAGCGGAAUGUGCCGGGUUUAGUGGACGGGCGAAGCUAGUUUUGUAAUAGUUUGACUUUGGAAAUUUUGUUGAAAACCUGUUUGUAACCGGAUCUAAAUUCCCGAUUUUCGGGUUGAAUUAAUAUAUAUAUAUUUUAAAAAAAA
rnacentral:lncRNA from 1 species